UUGAGCCGUAUGAUACGAAAGUUGUCAUGUACGGUUCUUAGAGGGGUGAGGACUGGUAACAGUCCAAUCCUACUCGAC
rnacentral:ncRNA from 1 species